UCUCUUCAGUGAACCGUUAUCGUAGUAAUCGUGAUAAAUAUUCAUCUUUCCAGAGCCGCAUGAGUUCAUUUAUCAGCUUCUGCGUGUAUUGCCAGUGUGACAAGGUGGUACUUGAUCGACCGGACGCCAGCUUUCCGCAGACCUCCACAGAUUGGACUUGCCACUGGAAUGUAGUGCCAUUAAGUGCCUUCUAUAUCCUAGUGUUGACCCUAUUUGUCCAGUAAAUUGCAUUAUUAUUCCAGGCCUUAUGAAACUCCUGGCUCAGACAAAGUUUCUAUCCUGGUUGCUUCACAGGUCCGGUCACUCUUCAACAAAGCGUAUAAAAGCACCUAUAAGUUUUGGACCAAAUAAAAAUUGUUCUUUCUUUCUUUAAAGGUUCAGCCAAACCAACGCAAUCACACGCGAUCAGCCGGCGUGCAGUGAUGGCGAUCAGACAAAAUGCAUCGAUCGCCAUCGCUGCACGCCGGCUGACCGAGUGUGAAGUGAACCUUAUAGGAUUCGGAAGUGAUGUCACCAACGAGUUCAAUGUGGGUAACUUUUGUAGUCAUGCAGACAAUAAAUAUCACUAUAUUAUAGGC